rnacentral:rRNA from 1 species
CACACGACUCUCGGCAACGGAUAUCUCGGCUCUCGCAUCGAUGAAGAACGUAGGAAAUGCGAUACCUGGUGUGAAUUGCAGAAUCCUGCGAACCAUCGAGUCUUUGAACGCAAGUUGCGCCCGAGGCCACUCGGCCGAGGGCACGCCUGCCUGGGCGUCACGCC